rnacentral:rRNA from 1 species
GAUGAACGCUAGCGGCAGGCCUAACACAUGCAAGUCGAGGGGUAGAACACUUCGGUGUUUGAGACCGGCGCACGGGUGCGUAACGCGUAUGCAAUCUACCUUGUACAGGGGAAUAGCCCAGAGAAAUUUGGAUUAAUGCCCCAUAGUAUAUAACCUUCGCAUGUUGGUUAUAUUAAAGUUCCAACGGUACAAGAUGAGCAUGCGUCCCAUUAGUUAGUUGGUAAGGUAACGGCUUACCAAGACGAUGAUGGGUAGGGGUCCUGAGAGGGAGAUCCCCCACACGGGUACUGAGACACGGACCAGACUCCUACGGGAGGCAGCAGUGAGGAAUAUUGGUCAAUGGGCGCAAGCCUGAACCAGCCAUGCCGCGUGCAGGAAGACGGUCCUAUGGAUUGUAAACUGCUUUUAUACAGGAAGAAACAACUCUACGUGUAGAGUCUUGACGGUACUGUAUGAAUAAGCAUCGGCUAACUCCGUGCCAGCCGCCGCCGUAACAC